ensembl:lncRNA
GUUUUUUAUUAAAUUGUCCGCAGCAGCCAUCGUAACUCAAACCAACUCCCUCCAAGGAGAGCCUCGAUCUACCGUAUGUCCCCAGAGGGACCCGCGGGCCAGAAAUAAGAGGAGCGUGCAGGUGUGAAUCCUUGAGAGCUGUGAAAUGUGGCAAUGUAAACUGCGCACCAGAGGAAUCUACCGAGUGUGGGCCCACCACUCGUUGGGACAGGAAUUGGGUCAGGUCCCUGUCUCUGGGGACGUGGAAUGUCACCUCUCUGCUGGGGAAGGAAUCGGAGACGGAGAGGAAACAGGUGAUUGGACACAGCAGACAAUCACACUCACAGGGGGAAAACACACCAGGGAAGGAAGUGAAGAUUAACCCGCAAACACCAAAGGCAGGAAACGACAAAAUAAAACAGGAAAUGAUCCAACACUGGCACACAUACUUAAGCUACCCCGGAGAGGUGAAGCAAUCCAAAGUAGACAAAUCCUUCACAACCAGUGUGCCACGCCGAGAGAAUAUUCCAAAAAAGAGCAUAGAAGUGACAAUGACGAAUGGCCUAUUUGCCAUCGGGAGCAUCAGGACAUUUUGUGGCGUAUGUUGA